rnacentral:misc_RNA from 1 species
AAGUCGUAACAAGGUUUCCGUAGGUGAACCUGCGGAAGGAUCAUUAAAAGAUAUGGCAUGUCCCUUGUGGAUAUUACCAAUCAACCCAUUCUGAGUACCUUACCUGUUGCUUCCACACAGUGUCUGUGCAUUAGUACUGACAUCCUGAUGAUAGGCGAAAGCCUAUCGGAGGGAGAUGUGUGGAGGGUAUACUUAUAAACUCUUGCAUUACCAUGUAUUCUGUCUGAUAAUGUUUAAUAUAAACUAUUAAAACUUUCAACAACGGAUCUCUUGGUUCUC